GAUGAACGCUGGCGGCGUGCCUAAUACAUGCAAGUCGAGCGAACGGACGAGAAGCUUGCUUCUCUGAUGUUAGCGGCGGACGGGUGAGUAACACGUGGAUAACCUACCUAUAAGACUGGGAUAACUUCGGGAAACCGGAGCUAAUACCGGAUAAUAUUUUGAACCGCAUGGUUCAAAAGUGAAAGACGGUCUUGCUGUCACUUGUAGAUGGAUCCGCGCUGCAUUAGCUAGUUGGUAAGGUAACGGCUUACCAAGGCAACGAUGCAUAGCCGACCUGAGAGGGUGAUCGGCCACACUGGAACUGAGACGCGGUCCAGACUCCUACGGGAGGCAGCAGUAGGGAAUCUUCCGCAAUGGGCGAAAGCCUGACGGAGCAACGCCGCGUGAGUGAUGAAGGUCUUCGGAUCGUAAAACUCUGUUAUUAGGGAAGAACAUAUGUGUAAGUAACUGUGCACAUCUUGACGGUACCUAAUCAGAAAGCCACGGCUAACUACGU
rnacentral:rRNA from 1 species